rnacentral:rRNA from 1 species
AGAGUUUGAUCCUGGCUCAGGAUGAACGCUAGCGGCAGGCUUAAUACAUGCAAGUCGAGGGGCAACAGGGGUAGCAAUACCUGCUGGCGACCGGCAAACGGGUGCGCAACACGUACAGAACCUUCCUUUAAGCGGGGGAUAGCCCAUAGAAAUGUGGAUUAAUACCCCAUAGUAUUAUUGUCUGGCAUCAGGUAAUAAUUAAAGAUUUAUCACUUAGAGAUGGCUGUGCGUCUGAUUAGGUAGUUGGUGAGGGUAACGGCCUACCAAGCCUUCGAUCAGUAACUGGUGUGAGAGCACGACCAGUCACACGGGCACUGAGACACGGGCCCGACUCCUACGGGAGGCAGCAGUAAGGAAUAUUGGUCAAUGGAGGCAACUCUGAACCAGCCAUGCCGCGUGAAGGAUGAAGGUCCUCUGGAUUGUAAACUUCUUUUAUGUGGGAAGAAAUGUCCGGAUUAUUCUGGAUUUGACGGUACCAUAGGAAUAAGCACCGGCUAACUCCGUGCCAGCAGCCGCGGUAAUACGGAGGGUGCGAGCGUUAUCCGGAUUCACUGGGUUUAAAGGGUGCGUAGGUGGGUUUGUAAGUCAGUGGUGAAAUCUCCGUGCUUAACAUGGAAACUGCCAUUGAUACUAUAGGUCUUGAAUUUUCCGGAGGUUAGCGGAAUAUGUCAUGUAGCGGUGAAAUGCUUAGAUAUGACAUAGAACACCAAUUGCGAAGGCAGCUAACUACAGGGAUAUUGACACUGAGGCACGAAAGCGUGGGGAUCAAACAGGAUUAGAUACCCCGGUAGUCC